AGUGAACGCUGGCGGUAGGCCUAACACAUGCAAGUCGAACGGCAGCACAGUAAGAGCUUGCUCUUACGGGUGGCGAGUGGCGGACGGGUGAGGAAUACAUCGGAAUCUACUUUUUCGUGGGGGAUAACGUAGGGAAACUUACGCUAAUACCGCAUACGACCUACGGGUGAGAGCAGGGGAUCUUCAGACCUUGCGCGAUUGAAUGAGCCGAUGUCGGAUUAGCUAGUUGGCGGGGUAAAGGCCCACCAAGGCGACGAUCCGUAGCUGGUCUGAGAGGAUGAUCAGCCACACUGGAACUGAGACACGGUCCAGACUCCUACGGGAGGCAGCAGUGGGGAAUAUUGGACAAUGGGCGCAAGCCUGAUCCAGCCAUACCGCGUGGGUGAAGAAGGCCUUCGGGUUGUAAAGCCCUUUUGUUGGGAAAGAAAAGCAGCAGGUUAAUACCCCGCUGUUCUGACGGUACCCAAAGAAUAAGCACCGGCUAACUUCGUG
rnacentral:rRNA from 1 species